rnacentral:rRNA from 1 species
GACGAACGCUGGCGGCGUGCUUAACACAUGCAAGUCGAGCGGAGCGGCGAACGGGUGAGUAACGCGUGAGUAACUGCCCCCCUCUCUGGGAUAACAGUUGGAAACGGCUGCUAAUAACGGAUAGUGGGGGAUGACUCGCGUCCUAUCAGCUUGUUGGUGGGGUAGUGGCCUACCAAGGCGACGACGGGUAGCCGGCCUGAGCGGGCGACCAGCCCCAAUGGGCUGAGAUACGGCGCAAACUCCUACGGGGGGCAUCAGUGGGAAAUAUUGCACAAUGGGGGAAACCCUGAUACAGCAGCGUCGCGGUCGGAAUGUCUGCCUUCGGGUUGUAAACCGCUUUCAGCCAUGACGCGGUAGUGGCAGAAGAAGCACCGGCUAACUACGUGCCAGCCGCCGCGGUAAUUC